rnacentral:rRNA from 1 species
UACGAAGGGGGCUAGCGUUGCUCGGAAUCACUGGGCGUAAAGGGUGCGUAGGCGGGUCUUCAAGUCAGGGGUGAAAUCCUGGAGCUCAACUCCAGAACUGCCUUUGAUACUGAGGAUCUUGAGUUCGGGAGAGGUGAGUGGAACUGCGAGUGUAGAGGUGAAAUUCGUAGAUAUUCGCAAGAACACCAGUGGCGAAGGCGGCUCACUGGCCCGAUACUGACGCUGAGGCACGAAAGCGUGGGGAGCAAACAGG